rnacentral:rRNA from 1 species
UAGAGUUUGAUCCUGGCUCAGAUUGAACGCUGGCGGCAGGCCUAACACAUGCAAGUCGAGCGGUAGAGAGGAGCUUGCUUCUCUGAGAGCGGCGGACGGGUGAGUAAUGCCUAGGAAUCUGCCUGGUAGUGGGGGAUAACGUUCGGAAACGGACGCUAAUACCGCAUACGUCCUACGGGAGAAAGCAGGGGACCUUCGGGCCUUGCGCUAUCAGAUGAGCCUAGGUCGGAUUAGCUAGUUGGUGAGGUAAUGGCUCACCAAGGCGACGAUCCGUAACUGGUCUGAGAGGAUGAUCAGUCACACCGGAACUGAGACACGGUCCAGACUCCUACGGGAGGCAGCAGUGGGGAAUAUUGGACAAUGGGCGAAAGCCUGAUCCAGCCAUGCCGCGUGUGUGAAGAAGGUCUUCGGAUUGUAAAGCACUUUAAGUUGGGAGGAAGGGCAGUUACCUAAUACGUGAUUGUUUUGACGUUACCGACAGAAUAAGCACCGGCUAACUCUGUGCCAGCAGCCGCGGUAAUACAGAGGGUGCAAGCGUUAAUCGGAAUUACUGGGCGUAAAGCGCGCGUAGGUGGUUUGUUAAGUUGGAUGUGAAAUCCCCGGGCUCAACCUGGGAACUGCAUUCAAAACUGACUGACUAGAGUAUGGUAGAGGGUGGUGGAAUUUCCUGUGUAGCGGUGAAAUGCGUAGAUAUAGGAAGGAACACCAGUGGCGAAGGCGACCACCUGGACUGAUACUGACACUGAGGUGCGAAAGCGUGGGGAGCAAAC